UACGAAGGGGGCUAGCGUUGCUCGGAAUGACUGGGCGUAAAGGGCGCGUAGGCGGUUCAUACAGUCAGAUGUGAAAUUCCCGGGCUUAACCUGGGGGCUGCAUUUGAUACGUGUGGGCUUGAGUGAGGAAGAGGGUUGUGGAAUUCCCAGUGUAGAGGUGAAAUUCGUAGAUAUUGGGAAGAACACCGGUGGCGAAGGCGGCAACCUGGUCCUUUACUGACGCUGAGGCGCGAAAGCUAGGGGAGCAAACAGG
rnacentral:rRNA from 1 species